rnacentral:rRNA from 1 species
GGACGAACGCUGGCGGCGUGCCUAACACAUGCAAGUCGAACGGAGCACCCCGGAAGAUAACUUCGGUUUGAAACUGGGAAUGCUUAGUGGCGGACGGGUGAGUAACGCGUGGGUAACCUGCCUUAUACAGGGGGAUAACAGUUGGAAACGGCUGCUAAUACCGCAUAAGCGCACAGGGUCGCAUGACCUGGUGUGAAAAACUCCGGUGGUAUGAGAUGGACCCGCGUCUGAUUAGGCAGUUGGCGGGGUAACGGCCCACCAAACCGACGAUCAGUAGCCGACCUGAGAGGUUGAACGGCCACAUUGGGACUGAGACACGGCCCAGACUCCUACGGGAGGCAGCAGUGGGGGAUAUUGCACAAUGGGGGAAACCCUGAUGCAGCGACGCCGCGUGGAGGAAGAAGGUUUUCGGAUUGUAAACUCCUGUCGUUAGGGACGAUAAUGACGGUACCUAACAAGAAAGCACCGGCUAACUACGUG